CCUAGUAAGCGUGAGUCAUCAGCUCAUGUUGAUUACGUCCCUGCCCUUUGUACACACCGCCCGUCGCUACUACCGAUUGAAUGGCUUAGUGAGACUCUCGGAUCGGGUUUUGGGAACCGGCAACGGAUCCUUUCUUCUGAGAAGUUUGUCAAACUUGGUCAUUUAGAGGAAGUAAAAGUCGUAACAAGGUUUCCGUAGGUGAACCUGCGGAAGGAUCAUUAGAAUAUUCGGGAAUUUUUUUCCUAAAUAUCUUAUUCAAAAAAUUUUCAUUCUAUUAAAAAAUAAUUUUUUAAACUUUAUUAAAAAAAUAAAGACAACUUUCAACAACGGAUCUCUUGGCUCUUGCAUCGAUGAAGAACGCAGUGAAAUGCGAUACGUAAUGUGAAUUGCAGAAUUCCGUGAAUCAUCAAAUCUUUGAACGCAAAUUGCACUCCUUGGUAUUCCGAGGAGUAUGCUUGCUUGAGGGUCGAAUCAUAUUAUCGUUUUAUAACGGAUCUGGGUUUUUCCAAGUUUUUUUUAAACCUUGGUAACCUAAAAUUUAUCUUAAUAAUAUUUGUAAUAUUGAAAAUGUGUAUCUUACGUUCACGUGAGUUUAUUGACAAUCAUUAUGAAUUUAUUACGUCGUAUUAUUCACUCGAUUUUUUUAACGAUCGGGGCGAAAAUGAUACAAUUUUUUAAAAUUCGACCUCAAGUCAAGUAAGAAUACCCGCUGAACUUAAGCAUAUCAAUAAGCGGAGGAAAAGAAACUAACAAGGAUUCCCUUAGUAACGGCGAGUGAACUGGGAAGAGCUCAAAUUUGAAAUCAUCAGGGUUUCCUUGAUGAGUUGUAAUUUGAAGAAAGUGUUUUGAUGUUCGGGUUUUAUCUAAAUCCUUUGGGAUAAGGUAUCAUAGAGGGUGAGAAUCCCGUUCGUGAUUAAACCUCGGAUGUCACUUAAUUCAUUUUCUAAGAGUCGAGUUGUUUGGGAUUGCAGCUCAAAAUGGGUGGUAAAUUUCACCUAAGGCUAAAUAUAUGCGAGAGACCGAUAGCGAACAAGUACCGUGAGGGAAAGAUGAAAAGAACUUUGAAAAGAGAGUUAAAUAGUACGUGAAAUUGUUGAAAGGGAAACGAUUGAAGUCAGUCAUGCUAGUGAGGAAUCAACUCGGUGGUUUUCUUCCGGGUGUACUUUCUCGCCUGGCAGGUUAGCAUCAAUUUCGUUCAUCAUUAAAUGAUCGGGGUAAUGUGGCUUCUCUUCGGAGUAGUGUUAUAGACCUUGGUAGAUGUGAUGAUCGGGAUUGAGGAUUGCAGCGAAUGCUAUUUGGCUAGUCCCCUGAUUUCUGAUGGUCACCUCGCUUACGACAGCUUGCUGACGUGGGUGGGUUCUGAUUGUCUAGAUGUUAGAGUGAUCAUAUAUUCGCUAAGGAUGCUGACGUAAUGGCUUUAAACGACCCGUCUUGAAACACGGACCAAGGAG
rnacentral:sRNA from 1 species